GAUGAACGCUGGCGGCGUGCCUCAAACAUGCAAGUCGAGCGGGGCUAUGUAAUAUCGCAAGGUAGAACAUAGCCUAGCGGCGAACGGGUGAGUAACACGUGGGUAACCUGCCUGGAAGACAGGGAUAACGAUUCGAAAGGGUCGCUAAUACCUGAUAAUAUCCUUUCAUCGCAUGGUGAUAGGAAGAAAGGGGAAACCCGCUUUCAGAUGGGCCCGCGUCCCAUCAGCUAGUUGGUAAGGUAAAGGCUUACCAAGGCGACGACGGGUAGCCGGUCUGAGAGGAUGUACGGCCACACUGGGACUGAGAUACGGCCCAGACUCCUACGGGAGGCAGCAGUUGGGAAUCUUAGGCAAUGGACGAAAGUCUGACCUAGCGACGCCGCGUGAGGGAAGAAGGCCUUCGGGUUGUAAACCUCUGUCAGUGGGGAAGAAGUAAGUGACGGUACCCAAGAGGAAGCCCCUGACUAACUACGUGCCAGCAGCCGCGGUAAGAGUACCUAU
rnacentral:rRNA from 1 species